AAGUCGUAACAAGGUUUCCGUAGGUGAACCUGCGGAAGGAUCAUUACUGUAGGUCUUCGCAAGAAGCCUGCAAGAUAGCACCCUUUGCCUUUACAGUACCUAUUGUUUCCUCGGUGGGCUUGCCUGCCAAUGGGGACCUCAACCAACCUUUUGCAGUAGUAUGUAAACGUCUGAUAACUAUAAAUUAUUACAACUUUCAACAAUGGAUCUCUUGGUUCUG
rnacentral:misc_RNA from 1 species